UAAAGGUGCAAUUAUAAAUAACUUAUACAUAUAUAUGUAUAAUUUUGCUGCUGAUCCAGAUUAAAAGUGUUUAUACCACUACUGAAUGCCUUUUUGUACUUCUAUUUGAGUUUCCCUUUGGCCAACAAAUUUGCCUAAUCCAAUCGUAUGGUUGAGUGAGGGUUGAGAGCACGCACACAUCCACACAAACUCCAAAUGAGUAAUAAUCCCUUUUUUCAGUCCAGCGAAGAGGGAGAAGACAGGCAGCAUCAGUGAUCCUGCUUUUCGACAGCGCGUUGCAAAGAUUAAACAAACAGUGUCGAAUGGCACCCGUGCUCCUUAUUCACUCUUCACAUUUUGGCUCCAUGGAGUGAGACAGCAAACCACCGGCUGUGCAGGAAACUUGGAGACGCAUGCACGCACAUACUGAUGGUUUUCUCAACAAAGAGCUCUGUGGAUGGCUGACAAUUGACAAGUGAGAUGGGUUCUGCAGUCAGUCCUGACAAGAUCUAAUCCAGGCUUGUCAACAAGUUCACUUCAAGCCCAUCAGCG